CCUACGGGAGGCAGCAGUGGGGAAUAUUGGACAAUGGGCGCAAGCCUGAUCCAGCAACGCCGCGUGGAGGAUGAAGGCUUUCGGGUCGUAAACUCCUGUCAGGUGGGACGAAAAGGCGUCGAUGAACAACCGGCGCUGCUGACGGUACCACCAGAGGAAGCCCCGGCUAACUCCGUGCCAGCAGCCGCGGU
rnacentral:rRNA from 1 species